rnacentral:rRNA from 1 species
UACGGAAGGCAGCAGUGGGGAAUACUUGCACAAUGGGCGCAAGCCUGAUGCAGCCAUGCCGCGUGUAUGAAGAAGGCCUUCGGGUUGUAAAGUACUUUCAGUCGUGAGGAAGGUGUUAAGGUUAAUAACCUUAGCAAUUGACGUUAGCGACAGAAGAAGCACCGGCUAACUCCGUGCCAGCAGCCGCGGUAAUACGGAGGGUGCGAGCGUUAAUCGGAAUUACUGGGCGUAAAGGGCACGCAGGCGGUUAAUUAAGUUGGAUGUGAAAUCCCCGGGCUUAACCUGGGAAUGGCAUUCAAGACUGGUUAGCUAGAGUCUUGUAGAGGGGGUAGAAUUCCAUGUGUAGCGGUGAAAUGCGUAGAGAUGUGGAGGAAUACCGGUGGCGAAGGCGGCCCCUGGGACAAAGACUGACGCUCAUGUGCGAAAGCGUGGGGAGCAAACAGGGAUUAGAUACC